UACGAAGGGGGCUAGCGUUGCUCGGAAUCACUGGGCGUAAAGGGUGCGUAGGCGGGUCUUUAAGUCAGGGGGGAAAUCCUGGAGCUCAACUCCAGAACUGCCUUUGAUACUGAAGAUCUUGAGUUCGGGAGAGGUGAGUGGAACUGCGAGUGUAGAGGUGAAAUUCGUAGAUAUUCGCAAGAACACCAGUGGCGAAGGCAGCCCCCUGGGCCAAUACUGACGCUCAUGCACGAAAGCGUGGGGAGCAAACAGG
rnacentral:rRNA from 1 species